GAUACACACAGCACUAAAGACUGAUCACUUUUAGUCUUGUGUGAAAGCUGGGCGUGGCUUUGCUUUUGCAGACCUCACAUUGCUGAAAAUGAAGUUCUGGAACGGCGCUGAUAAAGACCCUUGGUAGGAUAGGAGAACCUUUGGUGUGCAGCAGCGUGUACUUGUGUCGAGUGCGAUGUGGCUGUCGGCUUAUGCGGGAAUUUCAAGCAUGUGCUUCUUCUACUGUCCUCGACCUUUGAGGAGCUACUUCUGUUAAGAGUUCUGCUUAUCUGUGGUAUUUUAGAAUCUGGUACUGAAGAAGACAAAGAAGAAAGGGGCGGACUUGCUGAGGCAACUUCUGAUGGGGAAAAAACCCCCCGAUAAAUAGGCAAAGGCAAUAGGCAAUUGGAAAUGGGGAGCAAAAGGAAACUCAAUGAUCUCACCUGUGAGCCGUGGAUCAAAUAAUGGGACAUCUGGAAAAACACACCUUACGUUCACAUUUAGCACAGUCAGGCUUUUCAUUUCUGCUCUUUUCAUUUCUACUUUAAAGUUCACAACAAAUGACUUGCAGUUUCAUCAAGAUAAGUACAAACCAGCCCUCGGACCUGCCCUCUUCAGCAUAAUGGGUUUCUUGUUUCACACGCAGCCAUGACUCAUCAGAGGCCUGUUUUAGACGUUGUUUUCUCUGGCCAUGUAACAGUGAAUUCAAAGCUUUGGGUAUGAACUUAUAUGUACUUCUCAGAACCGAGCCGUUUCUUUUAUUUCUCUUUAAACUGUUUAUAACUUCAUUAGAAUGCGGUCGCCACCUGACUCCCUUUACAGUCUGUUGUGUUUGUAAAGAGGGUGUCAGAUGUGGACUGAAUGGGCUUCACAACUCAGCAGGAGAGAAUGGGUGUUUUUUUUUGAAAGCUGAAAUUUGAGCCUUGUCCGGACACACGCGGCUGAUUGUUCUCUGGUAUUUAAAUCUCUGUUCAAAAGUGUGCCAAUAGCUCAGAGCUUUGACUACAGGUGUUUGUUUGAUUCCAGCGCAGCCGUUUGAGAGAUUUAUUUCCUAUUGCGAUCUGAUGGCUUAAACCGCGGCUUUACACCAAACAAAAGAAGCAUGUGGAAUUUGAACUUGAACAUGAAUGUUUUCGAAAGAGUUUGCCUUUGAUGUUGUGCGACCAGCAGAACCACACCGGCUCGUAUUACUCGUGGGUGGUUUAUGUAAUUCCCGGCUUCAGCACUGAAA